AGUGAACGCUGGCGGUAGGCCUAACACAUGCAAGUCGAACGGCAGCACAGUAAGAGCUUGCUCUUACGGGUGGCGAGUGGCGGACGGGUGAGGAAUACAUCGGAAUCUACUUGUUCGUGGGGGAUAACGUAGGGAAACUUACGCUAAUACCGCAUACGACCUACGGGUGAAAGCAGGGGAUCUUCGGACCUUGCGCGAUUGAAUGAGCCGAUGUCGGAUUAGCUAGUUGGCGGGGUAAAGGCCCACCAAGGCGACGAUCCGUAGCUGGUCUGAGAGGAUGAUCAGCCACACUGGAACUGAGACACGGUCCAGACUCCUACGGGAGGCAGCAGUGGGGAAUAUUGGACAAUGGGCGCAAGCCUGAUCCAGCCAUACCGCGUGAGUGAAGAAGGCCUUCGGGUUGUAAAGCCCUUUUGUUGGGAAAGAAAAGCAGCAGGUUAAUCCCCCGCUGUUCUGACGGUACCCAAAGAAUAAGCACCGGCUAACUUCGUG
rnacentral:rRNA from 1 species